CAGUAGCCACGGGAAUACGUAGGUGGCAAGCGUUGUCCGGAAUUACUGGGCGUAAAGGGCUCGCAGGCGGUUUCUUAAGUCUGAUGUGAAAGCCCCCGGCUCAACCGGGGAGGGUCAUUGGAAACUGGGAAACUUGAGUGCAGAAGAGGAGGGUGGAAUUCCACGUGUAGCGGUGAAAUGCGUAGAGAUGUGGAGGAACACCAGUGGCGAAGGCGACUCUCUGGUCUGUAACUGACGCUGAGGAGCGAAAGCGUGGGGAGCGAACAGGAUUAGAUACCCCUGUAGUCCCUGUCUCUUAUAC
rnacentral:rRNA from 1 species